GGCUGGGGCAGCGGCGGACGCGCGGCCGAGCAGGGCGGCGGCGAGCCCGGCAGAUUAUCACUCACGUAAGGACCGAGAAGCCACAGGACUCUGGGGGCACAGCCCUGACUCCACAGCCAGACUUGCCUCGGCCAACUUGUUCGGCGGGUUUGUUGCAUCAGCCUGGACUGGUGAACCUCAAUCACAAGAGAUAGUGCCAGUAAACGGGUAUUCCCUGAGCGGCCUGCUGUGGAUUCAAGCACAGAGUCCUAGGUCCUGUCCUGGAGGUGCUCACCUUCUAGGGAGAGAGGCAG